rnacentral:rRNA from 1 species
AUUGAACGCUGGCGGCAUGCCUUACACAUGCAAGUCGAACGGCAGCACGGGGGCAACCCUGGUGGCGAGUGGCGAACGGGUGAGUAACAUAUCGGAACAUACCCUAGAGUGGGGGAUAACGUAGCGAAAGUUACGCUAAUACCGCAUACGAUCUAAGGAUGAAAGUGGGGGGAUCUUCGGACCUCAUGCUCAUGGAGUGGCCGAUAUCUGAUUAGCUAGUUGGUGAGGUAAAGGCUCACCAAGGCGACGAUCAGUAGCUGGUUUGAGAGAACGACCAGCCACACUGGAACUGAGACACGGUCCAGACUCCUACGGAGGCAGCAGUGGGGAAUUUUGGACAAUGGGGGCAACCCUGAUCCAGCAAUGCCGCGUGAGUGAAG